GAUGAACGCUAGCGGCAGGCCUAAUACAUGCAAGUCGGACGGGAUUCAGGAGCUUGCUUCUGAUGAGAGUGGCGCACGGGUGCGUAACACGUAUGUAACCUACCUUUAUCAGGGGGAUAGCCUCUCGAAAGAGAGAUUAAGCCCGCAUAAAAUCACAGCACAGCAUUGUGUAAUGAUCAAAUAUUUAUAGGAUAAAGAUGGGCAUGCGGAACAUUAGCUAGAUGGCGGGGUAACGGCCCACCAUGGCGACGAUGUUUAGGGGAUCUGAGAGGAUGGCCCCCCACACUGGUACUGAGACACGGACCAGACUCCUACGGGAGGCAGCAGUAAGGAAUAUUGGUCGAUGGGCGGAAGCCUGAACCAGCCAUGCCGCGUGCAAGAAGACGGCCCUACGGGUUGUAAACUGCUUUUAUACGGGAAUAAACCCAGAUACGUGUAUCUGGCUGAAUGUACUGUAAGAAUAAGGAUCGGCUAACUCCGUG
rnacentral:rRNA from 1 species